GACAGAGGGUGCAAACGUUGUUCGGAAUUACUGGGCGUAAAGCGUGUGUAGGCGGCUACGUAAGUCGGAUGUGAAAGCCCCAGGCUCAACCUGGGAAGUGCACUCGAUACUGCGUAGCUUGAGUAUCGGAGAGGUUGGUGGAAUUCUCGGUGUAGAGGUGAAAUUCGUAGAUAUUCGGAAGAACACCAGUGGCGAAGGCGACUCGCUGGACAAGUAUUGACGCUGAGGUGCGAAAGCGUGGGGAGCAAACAGG
rnacentral:rRNA from 1 species